GACGAACGCUGGCGGCGUGCUUAACACAUGCAAGUCGAACGGAAAGGCCCUGCUUUUGUGGGGUGCUCGAGUGGCGAACGGGUGAGUAACACGUGAGUAACCUGCCCUUGACUUUGGGAUAACUUCAGGAAACUGGGGCUAAUACCGGAUAGGAGCUCCUGCUGCAUGGUGGGGGUUGGAAAGUUUCGGCGGUUGGGGAUGGACUCGCGGCUUAUCAGCUUGUUGGUGGGGUAGUGGCUUACCAAGGCUUUGACGGGUAGCCGGCCUGAGAGGGUGACCGGCCACAUUGGGACUGAGAUACGGCCCAGACUCCUACGGGAGGCAGCAGUGGGGAAUAUUGCACAAUGGGCGGAAGCCUGAUGCAGCAACGCCGCGUGCGGGAUGACGGCCUUCGGGUUGUAAACCGCUUUCGCCUGUGACGAAGCGUGAGUAACGGUAAUGGGUAAAGAAGCACCGGCUAACUACGUGCCAGCAGCCGCGGUGAUACGUAGGGUGCGAGCGUUGUCCGGAUUUAUUGGGCGUAAAGGGCUCGUAGGUGGUUGAUCGCGUCGGAAGUGUAAUCUUGGGGCUUAACCCUGAGCGUGCUUUCGAUACGGGUUGACUUGAGGAAGGUAGGGGAGAAUGGAAUUCCUGGUGGAGCGGUGGAAUGCGCAGAUAUCAGGAGGAACACCAGUGGCGAAGGCGGUUCUCUGGGCCUUUCCUGACGCUGAGGAGCGAAAGCGUGGGGAGCGAACAGGCUUAGAUACCCUGGUAGUCCACGCUGUAAACGGUGGGUACUAGGUGUGGGGUCCAUUCCACGGGUUCCGUGCCGUAGCUAACGCUUUAAGUACCCCGCCUGGGGAGUACGGCCGCAAGGCUAAAACUCAAAGGAAUUGACGGGGCCCCGCACAAGCGGCGGAGCAUGCGGAUUAAUUCGAUGCAACGCGUAGAACCUUACCUGGGUUUGACAUGGAUCGGGAGUGCUCAGAGAUGGGUGUGCCUCUUUUGGGGUCGGUUCACAGGUGGUGCAUGGCUGUCGUCAGCUCGUGUCGUGAGAUGUUGGGUUAAGUCCCGCAACGAGCGCAACCCUUGUUCACUGUUGCCAGCACGUUAUGGUGGGGACUCAGUGGAGACCGCCGGGGUCAACUCGGAGGAAGGUGGGGAUGACGUCAAGUCAUCAUGCCCCUUAUGUCCAGGGCUUCACGCAUGCUACAAUGGCUGGUACAGAGAGUGGCGAGCCUGUGAGGGUGAGCGAAUCUCGGAAAGCCGGUCUCAGUUCGGAUUGGGGUCUGCAACUCGACCUCAUGAAGUCGGAGUCGCUAGUAAUCGCAGAUCAGCAACGCUGCGGUGAAUACGUUCCCGGG
rnacentral:rRNA from 1 species